rnacentral:lncRNA from 12 species
UAUUCUGUGUUUGCAGGCACUGAAACCCAACAGACCAGGUUCUUGGUUUAUGCCUUGCAUGAAAAUCUGUGACCAACAGUGAAACUACACAGUGGAACUGUUCUGCACCAGCUCCUCCUCCUCCCUGAGACAGUGAUGCAGCUGCCUAUGGCUGAGUGUUCCCACGUGUGGCUUGGGGAAUCAAGCAGAGCAAUACAUGAAUUUCACAGUAGCACCUUGUGCUGGCCCCUGCCCUCAGGAACACAGGAAUAUGAAUAUCCAUAAAAUGGUGUAUGGGGAGCAAGAGCAACUUAAAUUAACCCUGAUCCAAAAGCAUGUGGAGUCACUGGGCCAAACCCGCCCCCAGUUCCAGCAGUGGAAUACAAGCCCCAUGGGGCUGUGCUGUCAGAGUGCUUUGUCACAGCCAAUAAACCUUAGUGAGCGCUGAUGGGACACCUCACACAUGUGGCUCAACCCCCUGGAUCUGGAUUCCUGUGCCAGUCAGGGCUCCUCUGCUUUGAUGUGCAUUGCAA